AGAUGUCUGAACCUGUCUGAAGC
rnacentral:piRNA from 1 species